AGGUGCAUGCCACCACACCCAGCUUGUUGGUUGAGAUGGGAGUCUUUCAAACUUUUUUGUCGAGGCUCACCUCAAACUUUGAUCCUCCUCAUCUCCACCUCCUACCAAGUAGGUGUGCACUGUUGUGUCAUUAUUCCAGGGGACGAGAGGCUCCUGCUUGGAGACCUAAACCAGUCUCCUCAGCUGAUUCCUUGUCCCCUUAAUCAGAGUAGCUUCCAACUCCACCCUCCAAAGAUUUGUCACCAUGGAGAAACUGGGUUUGGGCUCUGGUUUGUUGUGAUGGCACUGGGGAUUGAACCCACGGCCUCAGCAUGCUAGGCAAGCAUGCUUCUACUGCGUCAUAUGCCCCUAGCCAUGGAGACCGUAUUUUAAAAUGGAAAGAUCCAGAGGUAAAGACAGUUACAAUGCUAAUAAUAGCCCAGCUGUUGAAAGAAAUGUACUCCUGCCUGAGGUGACAGAAUGAGAAGCGCAGUGCUCCUUGGAGGACACCCGUCCUGGUGUGCUGGUGGUACAAUGAAGUCACUUUCCUAGACUCACCUAUCACAGGAAGACAAAAGCUGGCAGGGCCUUCAAGAGUAGUGCACACUGGGAUGCUAAAGGAAAGAAAAACUGGAAGUACUCUUGGUUACUCACAGUUGUCCUAGACCCGGGCCUCCGACGCCAGCCCUUGCCCCACACACACUUCCCGUGUCGCUCUCCAGGACUUUUCUCAUGCUUUCUUUCUGUUUGUUCAGGUAUUUCCGGGAAAAGCCAGCUUCUGUUUGCACUGGUAUUCACAACUCGCUACCUGGAUCUUUUUACUUCAUUUAUUUCAUUGUAUAACACGUCUAUGAAGAUAUCUGGCCAAUGACAUGGAAGAGGACAACCAGGCUCCUAAGCAAGACAUAUUUUACUUUCUUUACGGAAAGAACUACUUCCAGCACCCUCUGUUCCACAAGUUACGGUACCAGAUGAUGCGAUCCAUGGGCUGGAGGAUGCGGGUGUCCCGAGAGGAGUGUGAAGAGAUCCAGGCCUAUAACCCGGACCUCUGGGUGUGGGGGCGAGACCGCACCCACCUGCCUUAGAACUCUGUUCCAUCAUCGGCUUCAGUAAAGAUCGCUGUGCCCAGGGAGAUGGGAAUGUUCAUCAGGAAGUCUAAACCAACACUGAAGCCAGCUGGAGCAAGGAAGAGCGAGGAGUUUCCCAAACCUAGAAGAACCCAGAUUCUUCCAGAACAAGCCUAAUAAAACUACCCCACUCCUCGGUGUGGGGGCACACCUGGGAGUCCAUGAAGGAAUGAAGGGAAAUCAGGCCUUGCUGGGUCCCUUCUUUCCUGAGGCACCUGUAGUCUCACCAAAAUUCACGUUGCGGUCAUAUGCUCACGUAUAUUUGGUUUGCCAGAUUUGAUGACUGUUUUUAAUAUGUAAACUUAGACACGUGGGAUCAUAAUAGAGUUAGUGUAAAUAUAGUUAAUAUAAAUCAUAAGUUAUAUUGAAUUAUUUUGAAUAAGUUGGUCAUAAAAUGUUUACUAUAUUUAUUUGCAAUGUUUUGAGAUGGUUGUAGAUUUGAAAACAUGCUGUUCUUUAUAUUUUCAUUAUUCAGAUUAUAACUUACACAUUCAUAAAUGUUUUUACUCUUACAAUAAGUUCUUUUUAUCCAUUCUACUUAUAUAUUAUAGCUAUGUAAGAAUACUCAAAUUGUUGGGAAUAUACAUUUUUAUUUGAUGUUUUAGCCUUUGUUGUUGAACUGUGAACAUCGACUUGCACUGACAGGUUGGUUUGCCAUUUUAUAAAGGGUAUGUGUUUUGUAAGAGCGCCCAUGUUUUGUGUGUUCAAAGAGGACAGGGCCACUCUUCCCUUGGGGAAAUACAAUAAAGAUGAAAUGUCCUUUAAUCUUCACGAAGCGUGUGUGGUUUUUUCCUUUGUCAAAUAUUACUGUUGUGUGCAUCAGUUAUGCAUGUUUGACCAAGGUCUUAGCUCUGAAAAAGAAUCCUGGAUGAUUUUUCAUGUGUGAAAAAUAGAAGACGCCGCAGAUCCUAAGCUGGAAUUGGAUGCCAGACACGAGGGGAAGCUGUUGAGGGGAACAUCAGGAAGAGUAGAAAGAAUGCGGAAACUUCCAUGGGUGCCUGGAAAAGAAUCCCAACUCAGAUAUAAAGGAACGGUGGACCCCAGAGAGGCCUCCCUGGAAAUGGUCCCGGGAGAGGGAUGACACAGCGAAAGGUGCACUUGCUCUUUGAGUCAUCCUGGGGCACUUUUAUCACCACCUCUGGUCCAGUCUUACAAAAGCCAAGGAGAAUGGAGAGGGGAGAUGAAAUAGAAAGAGCUGGAAAUAAAGGAGGGUGUAGAAUGGAGCCGUUUGUGAGGAAAUAAGUUGCAGGAAGAGGUAAGGCUGUUCCAGAGAUGAGCACAGAGAGGUUGAGUGACUGCAGAAAAACAUGGUGGGAAAUGGGGGUGUGGCACAACACAGGAGCAGGUGGGGAAGAAGCAGCUGGACGCCAUGUGUCAGCCAGAAGCAAAUAAAACCCAAGAGGCAGACAACAGGGUGACAAUAUUCUGAGGCAAGAGAGCCAUCGAUGAGAUGCGAAUGGGCUUCUAGACAAAGGGGGGCACAGCGUAAAGGGUGGAGGGCUGAACCAGAUGAGCUUAGACGAGGCUGCAUGUUUUCUCCUACAUGGAAGACAGAUCCAAAGAUAGACACACACACAGAACAAGCGUGAUCGCACACACGCUCAGAUGUAGAACACAUUUGUAAAC